GACAACAGAAGCCACAGAAAUCCUCCUCAUCAAAAACAUGACUUUGAUCUCCGUCCUCAUCUGGACUCUCCUCUGCUGCUGCUUCACAGAGUCCAGAGGCCAAGUCACAGUGACUCAGCCUGCAGCAGUGAGAUCUGAACUGGGACGAUCUGCAACCAUCAGCUGUAAGACCAGUCAGGAUGAUGAUGGAGACUGUGGCAGUUCGGGUUCCAGUCCUUGUUUAGCCUGGUACCAACAGAGAGAUGGAGAAGCUCCUAAACUUCUCAUUUAUUAUGCUGCCACUCGAGAAUCAGGGAUUCCAGAUCAUUUUUCAGGCAGCGGAUCAAACUCUGACUUCACUCUGACCAUCAGCGGAGUUCAGGCUGAAGAUGCAGCAGUUUAUUACUGUCAGAGUCGUCAUUAUAUCAACAGUCAGGAUGUGUUCACACAGUGA